UUGGGUUUAAAAGUGUUCGUAGGCGGCUCGUUAAGUCUGAUGUGAAAGCCCUGGGCUUAACCUAGGAAUGGCAUUAGAUACUGGCGAGCUAGAGUGCGGUAGAGGGUGGUGGAAUUCCCGGUGUAGCGGUGAAAUGCGUAGAGAUCGGGAGGAACACCAGUGGCGAAGGCGGCCACCUGGACCGACACUGACGCUGAGGAAACGAAAGCGUGGGGAGCAAACAGGAUUAGAUACCCUAGUA
rnacentral:rRNA from 1 species